rnacentral:rRNA from 1 species
UACGGGGGGGGCAAGCGUUGUUCGGAAUUACUGGGCGUAAAGGGCUCGUAGGCGGCCAACUAAGUCAGACGUGAAAUCCCUAGGCUCAACCUAGGAACUGCGUCUGAUACUGGAUGGCUAGAGGUUGGGAGAGGGAUGCGGAAUUCCAGGUGUAGCGGUGAAAUGCGUAGAUAUCUGGAGGAACACCGGUGGCGAAGGCGGCAUCCUGGACCAAUUCUGACGCUGAGGAGCGAAAGCCAGGGGAGCAAACGGG